rnacentral:lncRNA from 1 species
CAGAAGUCUAUGGACUUGCUCCAGAUUUCUGCAAAUAUGUCUGAGAUCUGCCUCUUGCUCUAUGCUUUUUCUGCAGUGGUGGUGACAUCACCAAUCUGGAUAGAUGAAUCAGGGCAUGGAUGAAUCAGUUCAGGCAAAAUUAAAAGCAGCUCAUUCUUUAAACUGAAACCAGUGCUCUUUGGAUUCAUUUAUAUAAAGAGACGCAUUACCUCACUGCUCCUCUGAACCAGAUGUACAGAUGCUUUGACUUUUCUGAGAAUGAAAAAUAUGCAAAACCCAAGAGACUGAACUCUUGAUUUGCAGCUAUAACUUUUGUGAUUGAAGCUAGUGAAAGGAUUUGGAAAUACGUACAGGAGGAAAAACCAGAACGCUGUGCUGUGUAGCAGAAUGGCGUCAGGCGGUGCAUGCCAUUGAAAGCCCAUGCGAGCUGUUGGGCUCCAACCUUGGCUGGACUGUGGAUGAGACCAGUGUUUGUAGGCGCUCCUGGCAUUGGGUCCCAGUUUCAAGACUUACAAGUUUGGAAGAAAAAUUAAUUCUAUUCGUAUGGCAGAGCUGGUUUUAAGGGAAAAAGGACGAUUUCUCAGAACACAGAGAAACUUCACCAGAAUACAUCAAAUAGCACUGAAAGUCAAUUAAUGCAGAGGUAGAAAAGGGAAGCAUCCAGCUUUACCUCUCUCCAGACUGUGAUAAGUCUCUUGCAAAUUUAACAGUCAGAAACGAUUGUUUUGUUUUCGACAAGUGGCAUUACUUCCUCUUAUACUGGAAUUAAAAUUGAUUAAAGCUGAUUCAUGACUUUUCAAUAUUUUCCGCAUCCGUUUGUUGCUUUCUAUUUGAAAACAUUAUUUCAGUGAAAUUAACACAGAUAGCUUUUCCUUGGUUUUUUUUUUUUUUUUUGAACUGUCUAAGUAUUAAGUUGAGAGAUUGGUAUAACUAGUGUUUUCUGACUGAGCAUAUUUGCUGCUACACUAUGCUGGUGAAUUUAGCAUUAAUUUCACUUUAGGUAGUAGAAGGGGCACUUUUUAAUAGAAAUAUUUUCUGUAAAAAAUAAAUGCUUUUAGAAAUGAUGUCUUCCUAAGGGA